CCUGGUGCUGACGGUACCUAAAGAAUAAGCACCGGCUAACUACGUGCCAGCAGCCGCGGUAAUACGUAGGGUGCGAGCGUUAAUCGGAAUUACUGGGCGUAAAGCGAGCGCAGACGGUUAAUUAAGUCAGAUGUGAAAUCCCCGAGCUCAACUUGGGACGUGCAUUUGAAACUGGUUAACUAGAGUGUGUCAGAGGGAGGUAGAAUUCCACGUGUAGCAGUGAAAUGCGUAGAGAUGUGGAGGAAUACCGAUGGCGAAGGCAGCCUCCUGGGAUAACACUGACGUUCAUGCUCGAAAGCGUGGGUAGCAAACAGGAUUAGAUACCCUGGUAGUCCACGCCCUAAACGAUGACAAUUAGCUGUUGGGACACUAGAUGUUUUAGUAGCGAAGCUAACGCGUGAAAUUGUCCGCCUGGGGAGUACGGUCGCAAGAUUAAAACUCAAAGGAAUUGACGGGGACCCGCACAAGCGGUGGAUGAUGUGGAUUAAUUCGAUGCAACGCGAAGAACCUUACCUGGUCUUGACAUGUACGGAAUCUCUUAGAGAUAGGAGAGUGCCUUCGGGAGCCGUAACACAGGUGCUGCAUGGCUGUCGUCAGCUCGUGUCGUGAGAUGUUGGGUUAAGUCCCGCAACGAGCGCAACCCUUGUCAUUAGUUGCCAUCAUUAAGUUGGGCACUCUAAUGAGACUGCCGGUGACAAACCGGAGGAAGGUGGGGAUGACGUCAAGUCCUCAUGGCCCUUAUGACCAGGGCUUCACACGUCAUACAAUGGUCGGUACAGAGGGUAGCGAAGCCGCGAGGUGAAGCCAAUCUCAGAAAGCCGAUCGUAGUCCGGAUUGCACUCUGCAACUCGAGUGCAUGAAGUCGGAAUCGCUAGUAAUCGCAGGUCAGCAUACUGCGGUGAAUA
rnacentral:rRNA from 1 species